rnacentral:rRNA from 1 species
UGGUGGAGUGAUGUGUCUGGUUAAUUCGUUAACGAACGAGACCUUGACAUGCUAACUAGUGUCGCACUGCUUAGAGGAACUUUGUGUGCCCAGCAUGAGGAAGUUUGAAGCAAUAACA